CCAUCGGAUUUUUUAAAAUCCAUUGAUAGUUUGGUCAAAUUUGAC
rfam:Lupinus angustifolius cultivar Tanjil chromosome LG15, whole genome shotgun sequence.